CCUACGGGGGGCUGCAGUGGGGAAUUUUGGACAAUGGGGGCAACCCUGAUCCAGCCAUGCCGCGUGAGUGAAGAAGGCCUUCGGGUUGUAAAGCUCUUUCGGCCGGGAAAAAAUCGCAUGGGUUAAUACCCUGUGUGGAUGAUGGUACCGGAAUAAGAAGCACCGGCUAACUACGUGCCAGCAGCCGCGGUAAUACGUAGGGUGCGAGCGUUAAUCGGAAUUACUGGGCGUAAAGCGUGCGCAGGCGGUUUGAUAAGACAGGCGUGAAAUCCCCGGGCUCAACCUGGGAACUGCGUUUGUGACUGUCUCACUAGAGUACGGCAGAGGGGGGUGGAAUUCCACGUGUAGCAGUGAAAUGCGUAGAGAUGUGGAGGAACACCAAUGGCGAAGGCAGCCCCCUGGGUCGAUACUGACGCUCAUGCACGAAAGCGUGGGUAGCAAACAGGAUUAGAUACCCGGGUAGUC
rnacentral:rRNA from 1 species